rnacentral:rRNA from 1 species
ACUGCUCAGUAACACGUGGAUAACCUGCCCUUGGGUCCGGCAUAACCCCGGGAAACUGGGGAUAAUUCCGGAUAACGCACAUAUGCUGGAAUGCUUUAUGCGUAAAAUGGAUUCGUCUGCCCAAGGAUGGGUCUGCGGCCUAUCAGGUAGUAGUGGGUGUAAUGUACCUACUAGCCUACGACGGGUACGGGUUGUGAGAGCAAGAGCCCGGAGAUGGAUUCUGAGACAUGAAUCCAGGCCCUACGGGGCGCAGCAGGCGCGAAAACUUUACAAUGCGGGAAACCGUGAUAAGGGGACACCGAGUGCCAGCAUCCUAUGCUGGCUGUCCGGGUGUGUAAAAUACACCUGUUAGCAAGGGCCGGGCAAGACCGGUGCCAGCCGCCGCGGUAACACCGGCGGCCCGAGUGGUGAUCGUGAUUAUUGGGUCUAAAGGGUCCGUAGCCGGUUUGGUCAGUCCUCCGGGAAAUCUGACAGCUUAACUGUUAGGCUUUCGGAGGAUACUGCCAGACUUGGAACCGGGAGAGGUAAGAGGUACUACAGGGGUAGGAGUGAAAUCUUGUAAUCCCUGUGGGACCACCUGUGGCGAAGGCGUCUUACCAGAACGGGUUCGACGGUGAGGGACGAAAGCUGGGGGCACGAACCGGAUUAGAUACCCGGGUAGUCCCAGCCGUAAACGAUGCUCGCUAGGUGUCAGGCAUGGCGCGACCGUGCCUGGUGCCGCAGGGAAGCCGUGAAGCGAGCCACCUGGGAAGUACGGCCGCAAGGCUGAAACUUAAAGGAAUUGGCGGGGGAGCAC